rnacentral:rRNA from 1 species
AAUCAACGCUGGCGGCGUGCCUCAGACAUGCAAGUCGAACGCGAAAGUCCCCUUCGGGGGACAAGUAGAGUGGCGCACGGGUGAGUAACACGUAGGUAAUCUACCUUCGGAUGGGGAAUAACAACCGGAAACGGUUGCUAAUACCGCAUAAUGCAGCGGCACCUAAUGGUGACAGUUGUUAAAGCGGGGGGAUCGAAAGACCUCGCGUCUGAAGAGGAGCCUGCGGCGGAUUAGCUAGNGGUAAGGUAAUGGCUUACCAAGGCGACGAUCCGUAGCCGGCCUGAGAGGGCGGUCGGCCACACUGACACUGACAUACGGGUCAGACUCCUACGGGAGGCAGCAGUCGGGAAUUUUGGGCAAUGGGCGAAAGCCUGACCCAGCAACGCCGCGUGAAGGAUGAAAUCCCUCGGGA